rnacentral:rRNA from 1 species
UACGUAGGGGGCAAGCGUUGUCCGGAUUUAUUGGGCGUAAAGAGCGUGUAGGCGGCCAUGCAGGUCCGUUGUGAAAACUCGAGGCUCAACCUCGAGACGCCGAUGGAAACCGCAUGGCUAGAGUCCGGAAGAGGAGAGUGGAAUUCCUGGUGUAGCGGUGAAAUGCGCAGAUAUCAGGAAGAACACCCGUGGCUAAGGCGGCUCUCUAGUACGGUACUGACGCUGAGACGCGAAAGCGUGGGGGGCGAACAGG